rnacentral:rRNA from 1 species
GAUGAACGCUGGCGGCGUGCCUAAUACAUGCAAGUCGAGCGAACAGACGAGGAGCUUGCUCCUCUGACGUUAGCGGCGGACGGGUGAGUAACACGUGGAUAACCUACCUAUAAGACUGGGAUAACUUCGGGAAACCGGAGCUAAUCCCGGAUAAUAUAUUGAACCGCAUGGUUCAAUAGUGAAAGACGGUUUUGCUGUCACUUAUCGAUGGAUCCGCGCCGCAUUAGCUAGUUGGUAAGGUAACGGCUUACCAAGGCAACGAUGCGUAGCCGACCGGAGAGGGUGAUCGGCCACACUGGAACUGGGACACGGUCCAGACUCCUACGGGAGGCAGCAGUAGGGUAUCGUCCGCAGUGGGCGAAAGCCUGACGGAGCAACGCCGCGUGAGUGAUGAAGGUCUUCGGAUCGUAAAACUCUGUUAUUAGUGAAGAACAAAUGUGUAAGUAACUAUGCACGGCUUGACGGUACCUAAUCAGAAAGCCACGGCUAACUACGUG